AGUAAAGUGCCUGAAAAUAUAAGGAUUACCAUGAUAUGGUAAAUUAUGUAAUAACUUUUACCUUUACUA
rnacentral:tRNA from 1 species